UACGUAGGGUGCAAGCGUUAAUCGGAAUUACUGGGCGUAAAGCGUGCGCAGGCGGUUGUGUAAGUCAGAUGUGAAAUCCCCGGGCUCAACCUGGGAAUUGCAUUUGAGACUGCACGGCUAGAGUGUGUCAGAGGGGGGUAGAAUUCCACGUGUAGCAGUGAAAUGCGUAGAGAUGUGGAGGAAUACCGAUGGCGAAGGCAGCCCCCUGGGUCAAGACUGACGCUCAUGCACGAAAGCGUGGGGAGCAAACAGG
rnacentral:rRNA from 1 species